UUUAACGGCCGCGGUAUUUUGACCGUGCAAAGGUAGCGCAAUCACUUGUCUUUUAAAUGAAGACCCGUAUGAAUGGCAUAACGAGGGCUUAACUGUCUCCUUUUUCCAGUCAAUGAAAUUGAUCUCCCCGUGCAGAAGCGGGCAUAAUCUCAUAAGACGAGAAGACCCUAUGGAGCUUUAAACAACAGACAGACCAUGUUAAAAUACUUAACCAAAUAAGAUUAAACUCUUGCGCAUCUAUCUCAAUGUUUUCGGUUGGGGCGACCACGGGGAAAAAAACAACCCCCAUGCGGUGAAAAAACUUUUUCAUAACCAAAAUUAACAAAUUUAAGCACCAGAAAUUCUGACCAUAAAUGAUCCGGCCGUACCGAUCAACGAACCAAGUUACCCUAGGGAUAACAGCGCAAUCUCCUUUUAGAGCCCCUAUCGACAAGGAGGUUUACGACCUCGAUGUUGGAUCAGGAUAUCCUAAUGGUGUAGCCGUUAUUAAGGGUUCGUUUGUUCAACGAUUAAAAUCCU
rnacentral:rRNA from 1 species